rnacentral:rRNA from 1 species
AGAGUUUGAUCCUGGCUCAGGACGAACGCUAGCGGCGCGCUUAACACAUGCAAGUCGAACGUGAAGGGGAUCCCGCAAGGGAGCCCUUAGUAGCGUGGCGGACGGGUGAGUAACGCGUAGAUAACCUACCCUCGAGUGGGGGACAAGCCCGGGAAACUGGGUCUAAUACCGCAUGUGGUCUUUGGGGCUAUACUCUGAAGAUCAAAGCUGAAAGGCGCUCGGGGAUGGGUCUGCGUCCUAUUAGCUUGUUGGUGGGGUAACGGCCUACCAAGGCGACGAUGGGUAGCUGGUCUGAGAGGACGACCAGCCACACUGGGACUGAGAUACGGCCCAGACUCCUACGGGAGGCAGCAGUGAGGAAUAUUGCGCAAUGGACGAAAGUCUGACGCAGCGACGCCGCGUGAGUGACGAAGCCCUUAGGGGUGUAAAGCUCUUUUGUUGGGGACGAAUGCCUACUAUGGUAGGAGCGACGGUACCCAGCGAAUAAGGACCGGCUAACUCCGUGCCAGCAGCCGCGGUGAUACGGGGGGUCCAAGCGUUGUCCGGAUUUACUGGGCGUAAAGGGCGCGUAGGCGGGAUGGUAAGUCGGUGGUGAAAUGUGCGGGCUUAACCUGCAGAUUGCCUUCGAUACUGCCGUUCUUGAGUGAAGAAGGGGAAAGCGGAAUACCUGGUGUAGCGGUGGAAUGCGCAGAUACCAGGUAGAACACCGGUGGCGAAGGCGGCUUUCUGGUCUUACACUGACGCUGAGGCGCGAAAGCGUGGGGAGCAAACAGGAUUAGAUACCCUGGUAGUCCACGCUGUAAACGAUGUGCACUAGAUGUCGGGGGAAUCGACCCCUCCGGUGUCGCAGCUAACGCAUUAAGUGCACCGCCUGGGGAGUACGAUCGCAAGGUUGAAACUCAAAGGAAUUGACGGGGGCCCGCACAAGCGGUGGAGUAUGUGGUUUAAUUCGAUUCAACGCGAAGAACCUUACCUGGCCUGGAAUUGCAGCUGCUCAUCUCUUGAAAGGGAGACUCCUUCGAGGGUGCUGCAGAGGUGCUGCAUGGCUGUCGUCAGCUCGUGUCGUGAGAUGCUAGGUUAAGUCCUGCAACGAGCGCAACCCUUACCGUUAGUUGCCAUCAGGUCGCAAGAUGCUGGGAACUCUAACGGGACUGCCCGGGUUAACCGGGAGGAAGGUGGGGAUGACGUCAAGUCCUCAUGGCCCUUACGGCCAGGGCUACACACGUACUACAAUGGACGGUACAGAGGGCUGCAAAACCGCGAGGUUGAGCCAAUCCCACAAAGCCGUCCCCAGUUCAGAUUGCAGUCUGCAACUCGACUGCAUGAAGGUGGAAUCGCUAGUAAUCGCCGAUCAGCACGCGGCGGUGAAUACGUUCCCGGGCCUUGUACACACCGCCCGUCACACCAUGGGAGCCGGUAGCACCCGAAGUCGCCACGCUAACCGCAAGGAGGCAGGCGCCGAAGGUGAGAUCGGUGACUGGGGUGAAGUCGUAACAAGGUA